GAUGAACGCUGGCGGCGUGCCUAAUACAUGCAAGUCGAGCGAACGGACGAGAAGCUUGCUUCUCUGAUGUUAGCGGCGGACGGGUGAGUAACACGUGGAUAACCUACCUAUAAGACUGGGAUAACUUCGGGAAACCGGAGCUAAUACCGUAUAAUAUUUUGAACCGCAUGGUUCAAAAGUGAAAGUCGGUCUUGCUGUCACUUAUAGAUGGAUCCGUGCUGCAUUAGCUAGUUGGUAAGGUAACGGCUUACCAAGGCAACGAUGCAUAGCCGACCUGAGAGGGUGAUCGGCCACACUGGAACUGAGACACGGUCCAGACUCCUACGGGAGGCAGCAGUAGGGAAUCUUCCGCAAUGGGCGAAAGCCUGACGGAGCAACGCCGCGUGAGUGAUGAAGGUCUUCGGAUCGUAAAACUCUGUUAUUAGGGAAGAACAUAUGUGUAAGUAACUGUGCACAUCUUGACGGUACCUAAUCAGAAAGCCACGGCUAACUACGUG
rnacentral:rRNA from 1 species